rnacentral:rRNA from 1 species
AGUGAACGCUGGCGGUAGGCCUAACACAUGCAAGUCGAACGGCAGCACAGUAAGAGCUUGCUCUUACGGGCAGCGAGUGGCGGACGGGUGAGGAAUACAUCGGAAUCUACUUUUUCGUGGGGGAUAACGUAGGGAAACUUACGCUAAUACCGCAUACGACCUACGGGUGAAAGCAGGGGAUCUUCGGACCUUGCGCGAUUGAAUGAGCCGAUGUCGGAUUAGCUAGUUGGCGGGGUAAAGGCCCACCAAGGCGACGAUCCGUAGCUGGUCUGAGAGGAUGAUCAGCCACACUGGAACUGAGACACGGUCCAGACUCCUACGGGAGGCAGCAGUGGGGAAUAUUGGACAAAGGGCGCAAGCCUGAUCCAGCCAUACCGCGUGGGUGAAGAAGGCCUUCGGGUUGUAAAGCCCUUUUGUUGGGAAAGAAAAGCAGCAGGUUAAUACCCCGCUGUUCUGACGGUACCCAAAGAAUAAGCACCGGCUAACUUCGUG